AUUGAACGCUGGCGGCAGGCUUAACACAUGCAAGUCGAACGGUAACAUAAAGAAGCUUGCUUCUUUGAUGACGAGUGGCGGACGGGUGAGUAAUGCUUGGGAAUCUGGCUUAUGGAGGGGGAUAACUACGGGAAACUGUAGCUAAUACCGCGUAGAAUCGGGAGAUGAAAGUGUGGGACCUUCGGGCCACAUGCCAUAGGAUGAGCCCAAGUGGGAUUAGGUAGUUGGUGAGGUAAAGGCUCACCAAGCCGACGAUCUCUAGCUGGUCUGAGAGGAUGACCAGCCACACUGGGACUGAGACACGGCCCAGACUCCUACGGGAGGCAGCAGUGGGGAAUAUUGCGCAAUGGGGGCAACCCUGACGCAGCCAUGCCGCGUGAAUGAAGAAGGCCUUCGGGUCGUAAAGUUCUUUCGGUAGCGAGGAAGGCAUUUAGUUUAAUAGACUAGGUGAUUGACGUAA
rnacentral:rRNA from 1 species